rnacentral:rRNA from 1 species
AUUGAACGCUGGCGGCAGGCCUAACACAUGCAAGUCGAACGAGUGGCGGACGGGUGAGUAAUGUCUGGGAAACUGCCUGCUGGAGGGGGAUAACUACUGGAAACGGUAGCUAAUACCGCAUACCAUCAGAUGUGCCCAGAUGGGAUUGGCUUGUUUGUGGGGUAACGGCUCACCCAGGCUACGAUCCCGCGCUGGUCUGAGAGGAUGCACCGCCACACUGGAACUGAGACACGGUGCAUACUCCUACGGGAGGCAGCAGUGGGGAAUAUUGCACAAGGGGCGGAAGCCUGAUGCAGCCAUGCCGCGUGUAUGAAGAAGGCCUUCGGGUUGGAAAGUACUUUCAGCGGGGAGGCGUUACCCGCAGAAGAAGCACCGGCUAACUCCGUGCCAGCAGCCGCGGUAAUUC